rnacentral:rRNA from 1 species
UACGUAGGGGGCAAGCGUUGUCCGGAUUUAUUGGGCGUAAAGAGCGUGUAGGCGGCUUGGAAGGUCAGCUGUGAAAACUCGAGGCUCAACCUCGAGACGUCGGUUGAAACCACCUGGCUAGAGUCCGGAAGAGGAGAGUGGAAUUCCCGGUGUAGCGGUGAAAUGCGCAGAUAUCGGGAAGAACACCGGUGGCGAAGGCGGCG